rnacentral:rRNA from 1 species
UACAGAGGCCUCGAGCGUUAGGCGGAAUCACUGGGCUUAAAGCGUGUGUAGGUGGAUGCCUAAGUACCUUGUGAAAUCCCAUGGCUUACCAUGGAAUUGCUUGGUAUACGUGGGUGUCUUGAGCCACUCAGGGGCUACUGGAACAAACGGUGGAGCGGUGAAAUGCGUAGAUAUCGUUUGGAACGCCAAUGGUGAAAACAGGUAGCUGGGGGUGUGCUGACACUGAGACACGAAAGCCAGGGGAGCAAACGGG